AUGAUAUCUUAAACAAUAUAUAUGACUUUCUGAUAUUUCGUAUGACUUCUUAUGAAUGUAUAUGACAUUCUGAUUAAUAUAUGACUUUUUGUAAAUAUAUAUAAUAUCUUAAAUAAUAUAUAUGACUUUCUAAUACUUUAUAUAACUCUAUAUGAUAUAUGAUAUCCUGAAUAAUAUAUAUGACUUUUUGUGAAUAGAUAUGAUAUCCUGAACAAUAUAUAUGGCUUUCUAAUAUCU
rnacentral:lncRNA from 1 species